UACAGCCAUACCACCCUGAAUGUACCUGAUCUCGGAACCUAAGCAGGUUUGGGCCUGGUUAGUACUUUGAUGGGACAAGGACAAUAUCUGACAUAUACUGUAC
rnacentral:rRNA from 1 species